rnacentral:rRNA from 1 species
GGACGAACGCUGGCGGCGUGCUUAACACAUGCAAGUCGAACGGAAAGGCCCUGCUUUUGUGGGGUGCUCGAGUGGCGAACGGGUGAGUAACACGUGAGUAACCUGCCCUUGACUUUGGGAUAACUUCCGGAAACUGGGGCUAAUACCGGAUAGGAGCUCCUGCUGCCUGGUGGGGGUUGGAAAGUUUCGGCGGUUGGGGAUGGACUCGCGGCUUAUCAGCUUGUUGGUGGGGUAGUGGCUUACCAAGGCUGUGACGGGUAGCCGGCCUGAGAGGGUGACCGGCCACAUUGGGACUGAGAUACGGCCCAGACUCCUACGGGAGGCAGCAGUGGGGAAUAUUGCACAAUGGGCGGAAGCCUGAUGCAGCAACGCCGCGUGCGGGAUGACGGCCUUCGGGUUGUAAACCGCUUUCGCCUGUGACGAAGCGUGAGUGACGGUAAUGGGUAAAGAAGCACCGGCUAACUACGUG